rnacentral:misc_RNA from 1 species
ACAUAUAACCUCACUCCCAUAGAACAACUCCAAGCGCGUGUGGACUACAAGGAAUAUUUCACAGAUGUGGUCGGUGUUGUCAGUGUGAUCUCCCAUGUUUCAUCGCUGCGCACAAGGGGACGACAGGCUGAGGUUAUGAAGAGAACAGUCACUAUAAGCAAUGCAAGGGAUACUGGGCCAACCGUUGAUGUUGUCCUUUGGGGCGAGCGGGCCACAGCUUUCCCAGCUGAACAGAUCCACAGGGACAGUCGAUCCUCACCGCAGAUCAUAGUAUUUGUUGGCACUCUCGUGAGGAGUUACGCUGAUAAUGUGUCAUUAUCGGGUGGAUCAUCAUGCAAGUGGUACAUAAACGCACCGCUACCGGAAGUAAACGCUCUCAGAGCUAGUGCUGAAACCAACCACAACCCUGUCAUUUGGGAUCAGGGGAAAGCAGCUGCUGAGAGUACAGUCAUUGCAGUUC